rnacentral:rRNA from 1 species
GUCGAGCGCAGGAAGCAAGUUGAUCCCCUUCGGGGGUGACGCUUGUGGAAUGAGCGGCGGACGGGUGAGUAACACGUGGGCAACCUGCCUGUAAGACUGGGAUAACCCCGGGAAACCGGGGCUAAUACCGGAUAAUACUUUCUUUUGCAUAAAGGAAAGUUGAAAGGCGGCUUCGGCUGUCACUUACAGAUGGGCCCGCGGCGCAUUAGCUAGUUGGUGAGGUAACGGCUCACCAAGGCGACGAUGCGUAGCCGACCUGAGAGGGUGAUCGGCCACACUGGGACUGAGACACGGCCCAGACUCCUACGGGAGGCAGCAGUAGGGAAUCUUCCGCAAUGGACGAAAGUCUGACGGAGCAACGCCGCGUGAGUGAUGAAGGUUUUCGGAUCGUAAAACUCUGUUGUUAGGGAAGAACAAGUUGGGUAGUAACUGACCCAACCUUGACGGUACCUAACCAGAAAGCCACGGCUAACUACGUGCCAGCAGCCGCGGUAAUACGUAGGUGGCAAGCGUUGUCCGGAAUUAUUGGGCGUAAAGCGCUCGCAGGCGGUCCUUUAAGUCUGAUGUGAAAUCUCGCGGCUCAACCGCGAACGGUCAUUGGAAACUGGAGGACUUGAGUACAGAAGAGGAGAGUGGAAUUCCACGUGUAGCGGUGAAAUGCGUAGAGAUGUGGAGGAACACCAGUGGCGAAGGCGACUCUCUGGUCUGUAACUGACGCUGAGGAGCGAAAGCGUGGGGAGCGAACAGGAUUAGAUACCCUGGUAGUCCACGCCGUAAACGAUGAGUGCUAGGUGGU